rnacentral:rRNA from 1 species
AAUAGAUACCCAGGUAGUCCACGCCGUAAACGAUGAGUGCUAAGUGUUGGGGGUUUCCGCCCCUCAGUGCUGCAGCUAACGCAUUAAGCACUCCGCCUGGGGAGUACGGUCGCAAGACUGAAACUCAAAGGAAUUGACGGGGGCCCGCACAAGCGGUGGAGCAUGUGGUUUAAUUCGAAGCAACGCGAAGAACCUUACCAGGUCUUGACAUCCCGGUGACCACUAUGGAGACAUAGUUUCCCCUUCGGGGGCAACGGUGACAGGUGGUGCAUGGUUGUCGUCAGCUCGUGUCGUGAGAUGUUGGGUUAAGUCCCGCAACGAGCGCAACCCUUAUUCUUAGUUGCCAUCAUUCAGUUGGGCACUCUAAGGAGACUGCCGGUGAUAAACCGGAGGAAGGUGGGGAUGACGUCAAAUCAUCAUGCCCCUUAUGACCUGGGCUACACACGUGCUACAAUGGACGGUACAAACGGUUGCCAACCCGCGAGGGGGAGCUAAUCCGAUAAAACCGUUCUCAGUUCGGAUUGUAGGCUGCAACUCGCCUAC